rnacentral:rRNA from 1 species
UACAGAGGUGGCAAGCGUUGUUCGGAAUUACUGGGCGUAAAGGGCGCGUAGGCGGCCUUCUAAGUCAGACGUGAAAUCCCCCGGCUUAACCUGGGAACUGCGUCUGAUACUGGGAGGCUUGAGUAUGGGAGAGGGAUGUAGAAUUCCAGGUGUAGCGGUGAAAUGCGUAGAUAUCGUAAGGAAGACCAGUGGCGAAGGCGGAUCUCUGGACAGUUACUGACACUGAGGCACGAAGGCCAGGGGAGCAAACGGG